rnacentral:lncRNA from 1 species
UCGUUCUCUUCAACUUUAUCCAAAAGUUCUAGUAUUAAAAAGGUUUACGUAUUGCGUGACAUAAUGAGUAUACAUUUGUUGGGUGAAAAUUUUUACUUGCAAUUUUUUUUAGUGGAAUGUUGUUACACCAUGGAUCUGGCGAAGGCUCACGGAGAUAUAUACGUAUGACGGCCAAUUGAAAUUUUAAAGGGAAGAUGCGUGGCAGGACUGCACAUUCGCCACCCUCGUAGGUGAAGGUCGAUAUAUCCGAUUAUGUCCUCGUCAUUAUUAUCAUUCUUUCAAUCUUUGUACGAUGCCUGCAAGGUAACCAAAGGAUUGUUGCAUCCAGUAAAACCUGCCAUUGGUGAACGGUGAUGCCCCGAUUUGCAAAAUCAACAUAAUAAUAAGAGGAUCAUAGAUGGGUGGAUAGACAAAAAUAUCCGGAGGAAGUAAAUGAGGAAGGCCAAGUGGCUGGUUCUCGAAAGAUACAAGUGCAUAGAACCCAUAUUCACAAUUUUGAUCUAGAGCUAUCAGUUAUGUGAAAGUCGUGUGCAACUUUAAAGUCUACAUUGAUAGUUUUGACCACUUGAGAACCCAUAUUCCCCAAUUUAAAUAUAUCUCACUUUUUUUAAAGUUUGAAAAUUUAUAAUCACACUAAAAG